AGAAGAACAGAUAUUUGCUUCCACUAAAGAGUUAAUUCCAUUUCUUAGUGGCCUCUUCUGGAAAUUCCCUCUCCACUGAUGAUCUGGCAGAAUCACUUGGAGCCAAAACAGCAGAAAAGGAGCUGGGUGACAAGGGGCACAGGAAGCCCUGCAGCCAGAGGGCAUGAGCCUGGAUAACUCCUGCCUCACCCAUCUCUGUGCAGAGGGAGAGGCACAGUGUUCAUCCUGCGCCAACCCAAGCACAUUCUGAGGCCAGGCUGCAGUCAAAGACGACACUGAACAGUCCUCCUUUGCUUUUGAGGUUGCUAUGACAGCCAGGAAUUUGCAAACCAAACUGGACCUGGAAAAGAAUUCUGUCCUUGGCCCCAAAAGUUUGUGGUUCCAAACUGUUUGCUGAGGGUUCCUGCUGUCUACUUUGAUACCUGCCAGAUGGAAGGAUCUCGGAACCUGGAAUCUGGAAACAUCCCAGUGGAAAGGUUACUUAUGGACAUAAUACCUUUAUUUUUCAUGUGGUGCUGAGGAUUGAACCCAGUGCCUCACGUGUACUAGACAAGUGCGGUGCCACUGAGCCACAACCCCAACCCUAGAUUGGAUCUUUAAAGGACUUCAGAAGAAAAUACUCUGUCACAUUCUCUGGGAGGAGACACAGUUGGGGGAGAGGCCCACCCUGAGUUCUGGGCCUGGGUUCAGUUUCCCCCCUGUGCCCUGCUGUGCCCUGCUGUGUCCAUCAUGGGUCCACACCAAGCACAUUUAGACUCAUCGACUCUCUACUGCAACUGUGCAAGAUGGGGGACAGAAAAGAAUGAUUGAUUUCAAUUAGGUUUUGCCAAUUCCUACAAUUAAUAUUCCUAAUUAUGUUUAUCUCAUAUUCAUUAGGAAUACAAAGAGCUGACAAGCACUGGCAUUUGUAUUUUCUUCAGAUAAAUAAAUGAGGUACUCAGGUCCCUAA